rnacentral:rRNA from 1 species
GCCAGACUCCUACGGGAGGCAGCAGUGGGGGAUAUUGCACAAUGGGGGAAACCCUGAUGCAGCGACGCCGCGUGAGUGAAGAAGUAUUUCGGUAUGUAAAGCUCUCUCAGCAGGGAAGAAAAUGACGGUACCUGACUAAGAAGCCCCGGCUAACUACGUGCCAGCAGCCGCGGUAAUACGUAGGGGGCAAGCGUUAUCCGGAUUUACUGGGUGUAAAGGGAGCGUAGACGGUGCAGCAAGUCUGAUGUGAAAGGUCGGGGCCCAACCCCGGGACUGCAUUGGAAACUGUAUGGCUGGAGUGCUGGAGAGGCAAGCGGAAUUCCUAGUGUAGCGGUGAAAUGCGUAGAUAUUAGGAGGAACACCAGUGGCGAAGGCGGCUUGCUGGACAGUAACUGACGUUGAGGCUCGAAAGCGUGGGGAGCAAACAGGAUUAGAUACCCGCGUA